CCUUCCAUCCAUUACACCUCAAAACAAACGGGGCUUAAAUUCAUUCUCAUGCCCAACCCAGCCCUAGUCUCUCUCUCUCUCUCUCUCUCUCUCUCAGCGGCGACAACGCCGACGUGUGCAGUACCCAUCUGGCGACAACACUAGCAUAGGCAGUAUCCCCUCCUCCGUCUGCGUCUAGACCAGCGUCAGCAAAUUUCCCCACCCUCUCACUCUCUCUAUCAACGGCGGCGACUCCCCAUCGGUGACAACACCGACGUCUACAGAUCUCCCUCCGACAUCCAGGUAUAGUUCUCAUAUCUUUUAAGUCAUUUUUUCGAGCAUGAAGUAAACACUGGACUGAGCAUAGUUGGGAUUGUAUAUUUUUUAUCGCUUCCUAUUCCCUCAUGAUCUCUCUUCUCUUCUCUUCUGUAUCUAGAAUGAAUACAUAGGAAUUUUUUUAGUUUGGGAUCACCAUCGUCCAGUGAUAUCAGGUCUGUCAGAUCCUCUCCUAUAUAUUGAUUUCUUAUCUAUAUAUACAUGUUAUAUAUAUAUAUCUGUACAUAUGUAAUAGAUGAUAAUCUGUAAAUGUUAUAUGAUAUUAAGGAUUGUUUGAAAAAAUUCCCAACUCAAAAAGAAACUAUGUUGGCACACUGAGGUUACUUUAAGAGCUCCACUUUUCCAUCCCUGUUUUGUGCAUAUUUCUAUUUGGUGUUUAUGUGUUAGAGAGAUUGGAUGGGGAUGGAGUCAGAGAGGUGACAGGGGUUUUGAUUGGGUUGGGGUUUUUUAGUUUUGAUUUUUAGCAAAUAGUGUGAAAAGUGAUUACGUUGUGACAUUCUCCAGCAAUGGUUUUAGAUACUAGUUUUUUUUUUUUUUUAAACGAUAUUGAAAUUUUGUUCUCUCAGAAAAAUGAAAUGUCUUUAUCUUCUUUUUUGUGAAUAUUAUACAUAGGAUUUUUUUUCUGACUUUUGGUGCCAUAUGGGGAAAAAAUAGCUUGCAAAUAAACCAGUCCCUAAUGCAACCUUACAAGUCACAGGUGUUGUUGGUUGGCAUAGAGAGGGUCUUGUUUAUAGAAAGAAUGAGGUAAUUUCAUUUUUCUCUCCAAUCUCCUUUCUAGAUAUUGUGGAAAGUGCCAAUCUUCUUAUGUCGUCAAAAGGUGUGAAAGGUUAUAUUUUGGGAUUUUGGUUGAUGUGCUCCUAUUUUGGUCACUCAUACAUUUUUUGUAAUUAUAGGUAGUGUUUUGCGUUGUGAUGUGACUGGGAAAAUUCUGAUGAAGUGCUUUCUUUCUGGAAUGCUUGAUUUGAAGUUGGGUUUAAAUGACAAAAUUGGCCUUGAGAAAGAGUUGCAAAUUAAAUCAUGUCCUACUAAGAGUGGGAAAACUAUAGAGCUCGAUGAUGUUACUUUCCAUCUUAACUCAGAAAAGACUAUUAGUUUUGUGCCACCAGAUAGUGAAUUCGAAUUGAUGAAGUGAGCUUUUUGGUAUUGGAAAGAUUGUUUUUGUUCUUUUGAGGUAAGAAACGUCUUCUGUUCAUUUCUUAUACGUUAGUUCCUUUUAUUUUUUCUAGAUAUAUAUUUUUCCCUUUUCUUACAAAAAUUAUAUUUUGUUUUUCUUCCUUUCCUUGUCCUUGAUAGGGUUGUUUGAUUGUAUGCCUUUGACUGAAGUCACAACAUGUAUUUGUUGUUGUUGUUGUCUUUUUUUGUUUUUGUUUCCCGAAGUAUUUAUUGUAGAGUUCCGCUAAUUUUAGAACCAAAUUAGAAACUAAUAGAACUCAAGCCAUAGUUAAAAUAUGGCACCCAAUCCUUAGUUUCAAUAAUUAUUUACACUGGAGACUUAGUUUCAAUAAAAAAAAAAUUCCUUUGUAAAUCCAUUAGAUUCUUAUAAAAUUGUGAUUUUUGAAAUGGGUUUGAUGGGUUUGAUGGGUUUUGAUUUUUGAAAUUUGAAAUGGGUUUGAAUCUUUAAUUUGUUCCUCACUCCUCUUUCUUUGUUGAUUUCGUUGUUUUUACCACUUACCAAACAUAAAUUUCCGACUCUAGAGCAGGAACUGAACUACUUGACAUGAUUCUCACCAAGAUAAUCUCUUUUUCCUUCUCUUUCUGCUCUAUUUUGUUACCCAAAAAAGGUGCAAAAUAAAAACAUUUGAUUUUUGGUAUUAUGGUUUUUAAUUCUUGAAACUUUAAAAAAUGAAAACCUCUUUUAGGUUUAGGGGAGAAAACCCACCAAAGAAAGACGAGUUUCUGUUAUUUUGAAAUGAUACUCUUAUGACCCUAAUUGUUCUUUUCAUUUUGUGAAGCAGUUUCUUCAAUUAUUGCAUUACAUUGGAGUUUCUGUUAUGUUUACUUCUUUUGCUUCUGCUACAAAUGUCUUUGGUUUUGUAUCCACUCGUGUUUGCAUUUUAUUGGACAGUUCUGUAUCACCUACAAUGUUCUUGUCUUAUAAUUUCUGUCUUACAAAGCUUUUAAUUGACUUUUUUUUUUAGCUUUACACCAAACACAUAAGCAGUAGAUAAUUUCAUUAUUCAAAGCCACCUGCAUGCUUGUGUUCCUACGGCCUUUUUUGCUUAAGGCCAUUUAAAUGUGUUGCUAUAUGGAAAUAAUGUUCCUUUUUUUUUUUUUUUUUUUUGGGCAAGUAAAUAGCAAUGUCCGUUUUGUGAAUAGGCAAUCAUAGCUUCGAUGGCUAACACCUGAUAGCGUGGUUUUGGGCCUGAUUUUAACUAAUGUAGUUGUUUUUAUGUUAUGGCGGAUUGCAGAUCAACAAUUUAUGUUGAAGAACUUUACAAUUUCACUAGAGAAUUUUAAAAGCAGACGCAUUCACACGAUGAUAACAUCUACAUUCAGUCAUAUCGAUAUUGGGCACCUUGUCUCUAACAUGAUUGGAUUUUACUUCUUUGGGGUGAAUGUAUGCAUACAUGCCUCUUAAUUUUCUUUUUGUUCAAAUUAUUAAAAAAAAAAGAAAAAAAAGAAGGAAAAAAAAAGAAAAGAACAUUUACUUACCAGUGUUCAUGAUUAUAAUUUGAUUUCACUUGGAAAAUUAGUAGUAGAUUUUGCAUAGGAGGGGAAGGGGAUUGAGUUUUUCAUCAUUUCAUCUAAUCUAGGAACCUGGUAUGUGUGCACUCAUGUGCCUUCCUGUUUCAUCAUGAUUAAAUGAAUUAAAAAUUGCAUUACCUGUGAUACUAGUCUUGGUGGUCAAUAUGGUAUUUGGUAUGUGUUGGUUUACAACUACAAAAUUAAGAUUGUCCUUGUUGAAUAAGCAAAUGUGGAUUUACAUACGUUGAUGGAGUUGUUCUCAAUCAUUUUUUUGUUCUUGUUGGUAAUCAGAGUCCAUGAGGAGUUUUUUUUCUCACAGGAGAAGUGAUAAUGGAACAGGGAAAUGUGAUAGAUCAAUUUUAUAUUGUUUGUCAAGGUAUGCUGGUGUGAUACUAUCUUGUGUUGACUUUUGUUUAUUAAUAUUUAUUUGAUUAUUGUGAGUUAGUGUCUUUUUAUUCCUUCUUUAUCUUCUUUUUCUAUUUCUUUUAGAUAUAUACUUUUCAGUUCCUUAUUCUUAUGUAUGGUAUAUUAAUUUAUUUUUUGAUUUACGGUUGCAUGCCCUGAUGUCACCAUAAAUUAGUUGUUUAUUUAAACAAAAAUACAUAGACACAACUCUAUUUAAUUUUUCUUCAGUCUAGUUGCCUUCAAAAUAUAGUCCUGUUAUUGGUGGACAUCAGUACUAUUCAUCAGCCCCUGUGGUUUGGAGUGUGAGGUUAAUCCUGAUUAAUCUAAAUCAUAACACUCCCAAAAUGAAACAUUUAACUACUACUUAACACCAAUUGGGUCUUUGCUCACCUUUCUUCUCUUUCUCAUUACACUUACUUGAAGAACAAACAUUAAAAAAGGGGCUCAAGGAUCUUCAUGGUUGAAAAUUUUUGUUUAUUGUAGACAGGGUUGUGAAAUAAAUGCCUAUCUUGAACCCACCUGCUUGCCAUUGCCAUUUACAUUUCUAGAAACAUAACCAUUAUGUUGAAUUAGAGUAUUUAUAAGUAGUUCCCUAGGAAAGUCGUUACUAGUUUAUCCCAUUUUAAUAUUGAUAAAAGACUAUUUAUGUACAAUAGGAGGUCAAUAUGAGGUCAGAUGGAUCAGAAGAGAUUGUUUCUAAUUUGGAACCUAACAAUUUAUUUGGUGAAAUUUCUAUUCUUUGCAACAUACCUCAGCCUUAUACUGUUCGAGUUUGCAAGCUAAGUAUGAUUCUGCUCCUUGAUAAACAACCAUUCUCAAAUAUCCUUGACAUAUAUUUUCAUGAUGGGCGAAGAAUCUUGAUCAACCUUCUAGAGGUAAUUCAGUUGUGCUAAAAUGUGAUUGCCUCUCUUAUGUUGUUUCUUGCACUUCUUUUUCUCCUAUGGCAUCAAUACCUACAAAUGCAUAUUCAUUUGUUUUGCAUAAACUUUAUCGAAUUAAUUAAUUUGUAUGAAUUAAAUGCCUAAAAUAGUAUAAGUUGACAGGGAAAAAAAUCAAAUGUUUGUGUGAAGCAAUAGAAUCUGAUAUCACAUAUCAUAUUGGAAAGCAAGAAGCUAAACUUGCUUUAAGAGUUAAUAGUGCAGCUUAUCAUGGAGAUCUGUAUCAACUCAAAAGUUUGAUCCAAACUGAAGCUGAUCCUAAGAAGACAGAUUAUGAUGGAAGAUCACCAUUGGUAUGAUUUUAGCUUUUCACUAUGUUAACAGGCUACUUUUCAGUGGUUUUACUUUGUUGCUUCUUGAUUCUUCGAUCUAAUGCUUAUUUUACGAAAAAAAAAAGAAGGUAUUAUAUUAUUGGGAAUACGACUUAGUUUUUCUUUGAUUUCUUGUCUUUCUGAAUUUAAGUAAUUCAUGGAGUUAAUUUUAAGAUAUCCUGCUUGUAGUUUCUUUUGUCAUGCAGACAAGAAAUGCAACAGGGUUAGUUGCUCUAGCUAUUGCCAUGGGUUUAGGUGCCUUUACACAUACAUUGGGCACCCUCGUCCCUGUGAUAAGAGCAAGUGGAUUUGCUACAGUUGCAGCUGCAACUACUAUAGGAACUGUUGUCGGUGUCACUGAAAUCAACGUGAUGAACACCGGGGAUGGAAGCAACAAUGAUAGUGUAAUGGAAAUGCUUAACCAAAUGGCCAUACAGCUUCAACAACAAAAUAACUGGACAUUCCUUCAAGCAUGCCAAUAUGUCUAAGAGUGGUACGAAAACACAUGUGUAAGACGCCAUGUCACACUUCUAUUUUGACCGGACAUGUAAUAACCCCGAUCCGUAAGUAACUGAUUAAGCGUGAUGAAGAGCCUAACAAGUAAUUAAGAGGAAAUUCUGAGUUAAUUACAUGUGGAUUGUGUUAUUUGUGUUUAUAUUUGUCUAUUGUAGAAAUAUAUGUCUGUGUUUCUGUUUCAUUGUGCGAAUUACUUAUCGGAAUCUGAUCACGAAAUUGACUUGGUUUAUGUGUUAUUUAGGAUUUUUAGAAUUUUAUAGUAGGUUUAAUUGAAAUUCGAUUUGGAGCAAAGUAAUUAGAAUAAAAUAAUGUUAGUUGAUUAGACCUAAACUAAUUUUAAUUAGUCUCUUAAUUAGCCUAUAUAAGGCUUAUACAACACCUUAGAGAGAUAUCAUCUUCAUCAUUUGAGUAUCCAGAACAUAAGAGAGAAGGAGAUCAAGUGUUGAGCUUGGAAACCAAAGAAGAGGAACGAGAUUUGUAGAGAAUUCAAGGUUUUGGACUUGGAGACUCAAACAAUUAACCAACUAGAGCUCAAAUGAGAAGCUAAAGUAAGAACUCAACUCUUUAGUUAUAUAAUUGAGUGUGUUAAUGCUAGGAUUCAAGUGGAUUAAGAGUUGAAUCACAAGAAUUAAGCUAAGAUUGAAGAAUUAAAACUCAAGCCAUGCAUUCAUACAUAUUUCAUGGUGUUUUAAAGUUGUUUUCCGAAGAAUUUCCUCUUGCAUGUCCUCAUUUUGGAUUUGUUCUAAGAUUCAACAUGUUUUUGAGUUAAACACCUCAUCUGAUCAUGUUUUGAAAGCUUUGAAGCCAAGACAAUUCAUGCAUGUUAUCUUCAUGUUAUGUUCUUUAAGUUCCAAGUUUGAUUUUGCACAAUUGGCAUGCUUUUGGGCUGUUUAACAAGUUUACAUAUAUUUUCUCAAGUUUUGGGCCCAAAAUGAUGUGUUUUGAAGUCUUGAAGUUGAGUUUAAACUUAGAACUGCAAUCUGGAAAUUCCAAAAUUUGCACCUUCCGCUCCAGUGGUGAAGUCUGCGCUUGAGCAGAGAAUGCGAACUCCUAGUACUUUUGCAGAGUUUGAGGAUUGGCUUGAGUGGCAGAACCUGCGCUCGAGCUACCACCCUUAUUUUUGACCUUCCACUCAAGCGACCGAAGUUGCACUCAAGCGUAAAAUGAGAGCUCCUAAAAGUUUUACAGAAUUUUGCAGACUGUUUGAGCGUAGGAAGUUGUGCUCGAAUGGAGACCCUGUUUACUUAGUCUUUGGCUCAAGUGACCAUUGAGCACCUGUUGAGCGGGAUAAUCAAGCAACCAAUAUUUUUGUAGACUUUGCAGACUGCUCAAGUGACAGAUGUUGCGCUCGAGCGAACUAUCAUGUUUUUGAAAAUUUGGCUAAGUGUUUCAAAGCACAUUUUAGCAUCCUCAUUGCAUCCUAAGCAUUCCUAAGCCCUAAUUAAGACAUAAUAAUGAGGAUAAGACUUAGAAACACACUAGGAACGAAACGUAAUGAGUUAAGUAUUUUUCGAGCGUGUGUUUCAGUGUGUAUCUAGUAUCUGUUUGUGUAGGUUACGCGUCGUAAGCUAUUCAAUCUAUCAACUCUGUCUGUCUGCCUUUGGAGCCAACUGUGAAUAAUAACUUAGUAAAACUAUGUUCAACUUUAUUUAUUUUCUGUAUGAUGAAAUAAGAUCUAUUUUCUAAAAUGAUAUGUUCUGUACAAUGAAUGAUUGUCCAAUUUCUGGCAAGUAUUCGUGGCAUCCUUAGCAUAUCUGUUAGCUGUUAUUCGGUAUCAGAGGUUCCAUCAUAGAACUUAGUAGAUCUGUUAUUUGUUACUCGUACCGGAGGCUUCAUCAUGGAGCUCAGCAUAUUUGUUAUUUGUUACCCGAAUCUGGAGGUUCUUUUAUGGAACUGGUUAAUCAUAACCACCAUCUGUUCUGUUAGAACUAAUGGAUGUACCAUGUAUGAACUCUGAUUUCUGAAUAUGAAUUGAACAAGAAUAUGAAUAUGAAUCUGCUUCUACUUCUGUUUCUGAAAUAAAAAUGAAUUUGUUUUCUGAAUCUGAUAUGGGAUAUCAUUCAUUUAAACCCCUUUACUCUAUUAUUAUUCACU